rnacentral:lncRNA from 1 species
GGUCCCAAGAGGAAGUUGUCCCAGUGUAACGUCUGCUCCGGGUGGCACAGCAGCUCCCCUUCCUCUCCGGCGCUCCACCUCACCCCACCCGAUUACAAUCACUGUUUAGUUGCGUUUAGAUUCUGUUGUUCGCCCACGGGACCUCAUGGAUUAUUGUUUGUCUGUUAGCUACCAUGCUGGUGUGCUCGUUUUUAAACCCCAAAAAGAAACGAACUAACGUGAAACAUUUGAAUCGUUCGUUUUGUUUCUUUUUCCUUUUUGCCUCUCUUUUACGCAUUCAUUCUACUCGCACCAUCACAACCAGUCCAUGAUUCUGGCGUAGUUUUAUGAGUGUGUGUUUGUGUUGUAGCGGUCUGGUGUCAGCGAGAUAGCACAAGUUACUGAAGAGACGCUUCUCAGUUACCACCCUGAUGUGAGAAACCUCCCACUGACCUCCAGAGAAAACUCACCUGACACUCACUACAACAGGUUGGAGCUUGACUUAAAAACCCUCCAGCAUUGUCAUCAGAGAGGCCAAGGAAGACCGACUCCAGCACCGGCCAGGGCACUUUUAGGUGGGGUUGGGACGUAUCGCAGUCCCCUGUGUGCUGAGACACCCAGGAGGACACCAAGAGAACACUCAUCGUUCCCCUCAGAGCUCCACCUCCAGAACUCGACCUCCUUAGAUGGGCCAUGGUGCCUCUCCUCCCCAGACUUGGGGUACCCGGCUUCUGCUCAGAAAGGGAAAAACCCACCUCAGACCCAUAGACUACCCGACUGGAUGGAUAGUCAGCUUGUCAAAACUGUGAGCGGUCACUGGACCACUGUGGUUCAGUCGGGUGGAGAGAUCUACAAACGGCCCAUGCACAGCCAAAAAGCUGGGUCGGAGAAGCUCAACCCAGGACAGAAGCAUGUAUCUGGGGUGAUGGCUGGCUGUGGAGGGCCACACACGGCUGUGGUUGAGGUCAUGGUCCAUAGAAUCCCAGAGACUGAAACAGAGGAGGGGGAGGAAAUCCUAGGAACAGUCAGACAGUACUGGGGCUGACACUGUGAAUGUAUUCAUUCACCACUGUAAGCCGCUCUGGUUGAGUGCGUUGGCUAAGUGUUAAAUGUUAUGUUUAGGUCCAUGAAUCAGUGAAGGAUCUAAUAAAGAAGUUGCAUCUUUAAAUGUGUGGAGUAGGGUUGCACAUUUCCUUUCAAUACAUUCCCUGGUUUUGCAUAAAUCCUGAUUGGUGCUUUCCAGAUUCCAUGCUCGUUCCUCCUGAUUCCAGAAAUCCUUCAACCGGAAUUUGGGUAAAAUCUGUGAAUUAAUUACAAGGUCCCUAACAUUUGCAACCUUGUGUGAAGUCAGACAUGCUUAAUUAUGUAUUCACUAGGCUGUGUCAUUAUGCAUAAUAAAAACAACAUAAACAACGACAAGAGUACAUUAUUCAUUUUUUAUGUGUUGUAAAUUAU